UGGUCGUUGUUUCGAGUGCUUUUUCAUCUGCUGUGACAGACAGCAUCAACGGUUACCAACAUAAUAGGUGCAUUGCAAGUUGUGCAAUGCUGAAUGCAUACGUUUCGUCAGUGACUUCCUUCUGCCUCAUUGAUGCGAAACUGAUAAUAAACAUGCAAGAGAAUACAGCUAUAGUUACUCUGGACUGCCAUGAUAGAAACAUUGAAACAGAUAUUGACUGGCUUUAGGUUUUUAUUGGUGUUGCAAACGAUGAAACGAUCACUGAAUUCUGUGCCUAUGUGAGAUUUGUUGGUUCAUCGAAUAACAUCAAACUUACAGUAAGGUAAACGGUCAAGCAAAGUGUGCAAGGUCGUUGAUGGAGUAUUCCAUGUGAAAUCCUCUCACCAGUCUGAGCCCCACCAACUGAACAUCAGAGGACCAACUUGCACCUGCAGAAACUUCAGCAGGACUCACAUCCCCUGCAGACAUAUUUUUCAAGCUAUCGAUGAUGGUUUAAUGAAAUGGGAGGACCUACCUGAAGAUUACAGAAACAUACCGUUCUUCGUAAAAGAUAAAGGAAGUGAUAUUGGGAUAUGGCCAGCUGAUGCAGAUGUAAACAAAUGCUGCGAUUAUCCAGCAUCAGAAGACGAGGAUGAAGAAGUAGAAGAUGAUGAGGUUGGAGGAAAUGGGGAUAAAAGAAAGAAGAAACGGGACAUAGACUAUAUAAAGGAGAUUGGCGGGAGCUUUCAAACAGAAUAACUUCCUUCGUUAAUGAUCCCGAGUUUGACGUGAUGGACGAUGAUGUCCGUGCAUUAUUAUAUAAGAAACUGUCAGAUACCGCCAAUGAUGUGGCAUCCUAUAUUUACAAAAGAAACUAAUAUAGAUAACAUAGAUAAGAUUAUGUUUGAUAAUAUAUUACUUUAAAAGCCGUGCAAUCAUUUU